rnacentral:misc_RNA from 1 species
AGUGAGUCCCACAUGAUUAUAAAAAAUAAUACAUAUACACUAGAUACGCCUAAAAAUUUCUCCAAACUAAAAGGGACAUCAACAAAGAUAACAACAACAAAAUGGUACUACAAGGUCCAUCAGAUCUUAAAAUGCCCUUUUUCUACUUAAAUAGAGUACAAUCAGAAGCCAGGGUCUUGUUCUCUUAUUCAAACAAGUUAGCUUCAAACUCCAACCUCAUCUGCCUACAUUUACUAAACAAUCAAUAUAUGACACUCAAAGCUUCAUUCCAUGUUCAACAGACAUCAUUAAGAGGAAAAGGAAAAAGAAAUUGAAUCAAUUUAUAUAAGAAAUGACAUCCCACUGAGCAAUUCAAUUAUUCAUACCUUAAAUUACAACAGUCGAGCUAUAGACACCUACCCUAGUAGAACUAUAGAAAAGUCUACUUGAUGACAAAAUUACCGCACUUAGCUACAACUAGUAGAAAAUAAAAAGAAUCAGUAGGGGGGUAAGGGGGCAUAAACUUUAACAUCAGUAAGAUUUCAUUGAGAGCAAAUUAUUGUUUAGGAAGGUAGUAAGGGUAUCCACCCAUUCCCAUGGGUAUUGGUGGUGAAAGUCCGACUGGCUCUUUAUUCACAGCAACUGGUGGUGCAUACGAAAUUUGAGACACUGGAGGAUAUGGAGCAGGUGCGGUGGGAGUACUUGGGUAAGAAGAAGCAGGGUAUGAUGCCAUAGUUUGAGGAUAGGAAUAGCCAACAGGUGCAGCACCAGGAUGUUCUUUUCCAGGCUGUGUGUAUCCAGCUGCCAUUGGCAAGGGUACUGUAACCACUGGUCCAGGCAAUUGCGUUUGUACUGUUUUGGCCUUGUGAGUAUCAGCGAGCUUAACAAUGAUAGUUCUCCCCCCAAGUGUCUUCUGUGGAUCUUCUAUGGCCUUCUUUGCAGCCUCCACUGUCUUAUAUGUAACAAAACCAAACCCACGUGAUUCAUUGGUAUCUUUGUCAUAAGCAACUGAACCUUCUUCAAUCUCACCAUGCCUUCCAAAAAAGUUGAGCAGCAUCUCACUUGAGAUCUCUGGUGACAAACCCCCAAUAUAGAGUUUUCUCUGGGCUGAAUCUGGUGUAGUACUUGCCCCGCUUAAUCCUUCACAUGCUAAAUUACAGACAGACAUCCGACCAUCAAUCAAUUUGCUAGGUGCUGCCAGUGCACUUUGUGUUGAUUCCAUAUGUUUGUAAGUAAUGAAACCAUAGCCGCGAGAUUUUCCUGUUGCUUUGUCAUAAAUGACAGCCCCUUCUUCUAUUUCACCAUGCACUCGAAAGGCCUGUACCAAAAACAUAUAGUAGUCAUUUCCCUGACAAAUUAGAAAGAAAGAGUAAUAAGUCAAAGAAAAGACAAUAACAAGUAGCAAUUAUUUUAUUUGAAUAACUUUGGCCGAAGCUAGUGUCAUAUGGAACAAUCAUCAGCCUAGCACACAAAAACACACUCAGCAAUCAGCAAUGCACUCACAGCACACAAGGUUUCUGAAGUGGUAUUCCAGGCCAAGCCACGAACAAAAAGCUUUCGAUGUACUGGAUCUGCACUGGCUACACUUUUAAUUUCUUCUGCAAUGGAAGGAUAUUGGGACCCUCUUUAUGCAUCAACAUGCAAACAAGCACACACGCACAGAGUCAAUCACACAGCAUACAGUUGAACAGUAGAAGUUACACUCAUAUGCCACCCUUUAAAUAGAGACUAGCACUAGCAGAAGAUUCUCACAACAGGAUACCCUUCCUGAAGUGAUGUAUAGGCUCUAUCACUCUCUCAAAAUAAAUAAAGGAUCCUAAGCCAUAAAAACAUAAAAUCUUAAGAUGCAAUUAUGGAGCUUCUAAAAGAUCUAAUAAAGAAAUGCUUAACGUUUUAUUUCAACUGCAAAAGCACACAGAAAGGCACAAAUGGAAGAUUGGAAUUUUCCCAAAGAAAAAAAAAAGGCAUUAGAUUUCAGUUUUCGGAUAAAAGGUUUCCUAAAAUAUCAAUAGGGGUUGAUAUUCUGGUUGCCAAGUAUAAAAACCGAUAGCAAUUAUCAAUUCCAUGGAACUAACAAAAUCUUUGGUUUUCACUAAAUUUGGUACUCUCUCGGGGUUUUGAAAAUUCGAAGUUAGACUCCAAUCAUCAUCAGUCUCAUGAAACAGAUCAACUCAUAGCUGAUUUUACACUAUAUCCCACAAUCAUUCAACUAAAACAAACAAAACACAAGAACUUAUAAUUCCUUCCAGGUUAAAUUUUACUUGGCAGCCAAUACAAUAAAGAGAAGAGCAAAGAAAUAAAAUAACCCAGAAAAUAAAACCCAAGGAAAAUUAAAAAGGAGCGAGAGAAGAAGACGCACAGUCUAGAGAGAAGAUCGACGAGCUGGGAUUUGCUGAGAGGGUCGAGAAGAGAACGGAGGUGCUCUUGGGUUGUUGAGAUUUGAGCGCCGUUGCUUGCCUCCUCCAUCUUCCUCUUCUUCAUAUCUUCCAUUUUUAGGCUUUUCUUAGCUUUCUCUAUUCUACCUCUGUGCUGUGUACCAGAGAGUCGAUGUGAUAGGUUUAUACAGGCUUCAAACAGGAUGUACCUGCGCAGUGCUUUUGGUUUCCA